GUGAGAUGUAAUUUCUCUAACAUAGAUAGAUAAACCAGGAUGGACCGGCUCAUUAGUACUUGAAACUUUAGCUGAUGGAGAGUUGUUGUUUUUUUUUGUGUGUUUUUUUUGUUUGUUUGUUUAUCAAAACCGCUUUCCUCUGUUAUCUUUAGCUCCACAAAGUGUUAAUAAUGUGACUAAAAAUGGACAAAAUGAGACCAGCAUAACUCUGGGGUGGAAAACAGUCCCCAACAUCGACAAAUACAUUCUUGCAUUUAAUGAAAGAGAGAUCAACAUUAGUAAUUCUGAAAAAGAAUACAGAGUGUUAAAUUUGACCAGUGGAACCAGAUACAAUUUCACUCUCUUCACUGUGUUUGAUAAUGUCAGAAGCAGUGGAGUAAACUGCAUCGCAGUUACUGCUCCUCGUAAUGCUGACGACUUUAAGAAAAAUGGACAAAAUGAGACCAGCAUAACUCUGGGGUGGAAAACAGUCCCUAACAUCGACAAUUAUAUUCUUGCGUUUAAUGGGAGCAAGAUCAAUAUUAGUAAUUCUGAAAAAGAAUACAGUGUUAAAUUUGACCAGUGGAACCAGAUACAAUUUCACUCUCUUCACUGUGUUUGAUAAUGUCAGAAGCAGUGGAGUAAACUGCAUCGCAGUUACUGGUGAGAUGUAAUUUCUCUAACAUAGAUAGAUAAACCAGGAUGGACCGGCUCAUUAGUACUUGAAACUUUAGCUGAUGGAGAGUUGUUGUUUUUUUUUGUGUGUUUUUUUUGUUUGUUUGUUUAUCAAAACCGCUUUCCUCUGUUAUCUUUAGCUCCACAAAGUGUUAAUAAUGUGACUGUGGUGCAUCAAAAUGAGAUGAGUAUACCACUGGAGUGGGACAAGGUUAAAAACAUCCCAGAAUACAUCCUACAGAAUAAUAACAUAAACAUUUGUUCAAUUUUCCAAUUUGAAUAUGUCAAAUACUAACCCGACCUAUAAUCC
ensembl:lncRNA